rnacentral:rRNA from 1 species
AAGGUGGCGCCAACAACAGCCAUGCCAAGGAAAAUGAUUUUUGGCCUUCGCAUGGGAGUGCUGGUCGCACACGAUGCGAAUAAUAUCCAUUGCCUUCGAGGGACACGGCCAAAAGAACAGGCCGUGACGCCUCAACGCCG